rnacentral:sRNA from 1 species
UGCAAAUCGAAAACGAGCCCGGCGGUGA